GCCGCUGUAGCUCAGUUGGCAGAGCGACGCUUUCGUAAAGCGUAGGUCGUCGGUUCAAGUCCGACCAGCGGCUC
rnacentral:tRNA from 1 species